rnacentral:lncRNA from 9 species
GUAAGAGAUGGAGAUUGGAGAUGGAGGUGAGGAUGAGAGAUGGAGAUGGGGGUGGAGAUGAGAGAUGGAGGUAGAGAGGAUAGGUGGAGGUGGAGAUUAGGGAUGGAGAUGGAGGCGGAAGUGGAGAAGAGAGAGUGAGGGAGGGAGAGAGAGUGGAGAGAGAACAAUAAUUUCACUGUUAUCACCUUAUCUUCAGGAAGACACCAUCUCUUGCAGGAAAACAGAUUUUCAGGGAGCCAAGAGGCCCUGGACAAAGCAAAGACUGCGUUUGGUUGGCCAAACAAGUGAAUCCAGAAGGGACUGUCUCUUAGUCUUGUCAGAGCUGGUCUCCCUAUUUGUCUGGUAUUUGUGAUUGGCCAAGUAUUUGGAGACCCUGCCUGCAGGUAUCUUUUCAACCUUUGGCCUUUGACCUUGUGUUUCCCAGGUUGCUGCGCAGUGCUCAGCUCCCAGCGCUCACCAAUCCUGCAGCAAACACUCUCAGAGCAGCCCCUGAGGGCCACCCUCUGCCAGGUGGAGGUACAGACGCAACUAAGACACCAAGGAGCUCCAGGUGUCCGCCUUUCCUGGCUCAGUGGCCCCUGACACAUGAGACCCCACUCCACCGGCAGAGGGAAAAGAGUGCAUUGCAUGUUUGGCGGCCCAAGGCGGAGACGAACUGAUGGAGAGAGCUGCAGCCUGCUGGUGAACUGAUGGAGAGAGCUGCAGCCUGCCGGUGAACUGAUGGAGAUGAGCUGCAGCCUGCAGGUGAACUGAUGGAGAGAGCUGCAGCCUGCCGGUGAACUGAUGGAGAGAGCUGCAGCCUGCCGGUGAACUGAUGGAGAUGAGCUGCAGCCUGCCGGUGAACUGACGGAGAGAGCUGCAGCCUACUGGUGAACUGA